rnacentral:rRNA from 1 species
GAUGAACGCUGGCGGCGUGCCUAAUACAUGCAAGUCGAGCGAAAAGACGAGGAGCUUGCUCCCCUGACGUUAGCGGCGGACGGGUGAGUAACACGUGGAUAACCUACCUAUAAGACUGGGAUAACUACGGGAAACCGGAGCUAAUACCGGAUAAUAUAUUGAACCGCAUGGUUCAAUAGUGAAAGACGGUUUUGCUGUCACUUAUAGAUGGAUCCGCGCCGCAUUAGCUAGUUGGUAAGGUAACGGCUUACCAAGGCAACGAUGCGUAGCCGACCUGAGAGGGUGAUCGGCCACACUGGAACUGAGACACGGUCCAGACUCCUACGGGAGGCAGCAGUAGGGAAUCUUCCGCAAUGGGCGAAAGCCUGACGGAGCAACGCCGCGUGAGUGAUGAAGGUCUUCGGAUCGUAAAACUCUGUUAUUAGGGAAGAACAAAUGUGUAAGUAACUAUGCACGUCUUGACGGUACCUAAUCAGAAAGCCACGGCUAACUACGUG